rnacentral:rRNA from 1 species
CUGCAUGGCCGUCGUCAGCUCGUGUCGUGAGAUGUUGGGUUAAGUCCCGCAACGAGCGCAACCCUUGUCAUUAGUUGCUACGAAAGGGCACUCUAAUGAGACUGCCGGUGACAAACCGGAGGAAGGUGGGGAUGACGUCAGGUCAUCAUGGCCCUUAUGGGUAGGGCUACACACGUCAUACAAUGGCCGGUACAGAGGGCUGCCAACCCGCGAGGGGGAGCUAAUCCCAGAAAACCGGUCGUAGUCCGGAUCGUAGUCUGCAACUCGACUGCGUGAAGUCGGAAUCGCUAGUAAUCGCGGAUCAGCUUGCCGCGGUGAAUACGUUCCCGGGUCUUGUACACACCGCCCGUCACACCAUGGGAGCGGGUUCUGCCAGAAGUAGUUAGCCUAACCGCAAGG